rnacentral:tRNA from 1 species
GUGCCAUUCGUCUAACGGUCAGGACACAGAUCUUAUGAGUCUGUUACGCAGGUUCGACUCCUGCAUGGCACA